rnacentral:lncRNA from 1 species
UUUUCUCUACCAACAUCCACAGGCCGGAACCAUCACUUUUCUCCCCCGUUUCAUCAUCAACCAUAUUCAUAGCCUCUGGUGAAGAUUCCGACGAAGGCAUCGUUCUCCCAGAAGUGGGUUCAAGGACCCUAAAGGGACAAACUUCUUUUACAUGCCCAUACCGUCCAUAGUGAAAACAGACCGUUGGUAAGAAUUCAUACUUGACCCUCUGUAUUUUUCCAUUGAUUAAGACUUGGGACACCAACGGUUUAUCCAAGUUGACAUACACAGCCAUACGAGCGAAACAUCCUCUAAUCCUAUUGUCUGUGUUCAUAUCUAGUUUGGCAACCUUGCUGAUUAAACUCCCUAUUUAUGUCAGAAUUUUUCGCUUAUAAAAGUAUCCUGGCAAGCCCGGUAGUCUUAUCCACGACAUUACGACACUGGGAAAUUUAUGUGCUGGAUUAAAAGACAUCGACCAAGGUUGAACUGUCAG